UUUUUAUAUGCCGCAGAGGACUAAGUACAACAACAUGGAGCCGGAUGUUGUUGAUUUCUUUGGGGAAUGUAUGAAUAGUCCCCGAAAUGGUCGUACUCCGCUUGCAAAUGAGAUAUAUGAGCAAAUGGUUGCAGAGAAGGAAAGAGAGCUAGAAGAAGGAGAAGCACAAAAGUCACCCUCCAGGAUUGUUGCUGAUAGUCUCAGCCAGAUCAGUCGCUCAUCCACCUUCCUUCCAAACAUUGGUGUCUGUUUGAGUGCUUCAAACCUUUGUGGUGGAACCUUUGUAUGUUUGAACCUCUGUUGUGGAAGAACUAGUGUGCUGGAAUUGUGUAUGACUUGUGAUGAGAAUGUUGUGUAUGAUGGCU